UACGUAGGGGGCGAACGUUGCUCGGAAUUACUGGGCGUAAAGCGCACGCAGGCGGCUUUGCAAGUCGGAUGUGAAAUCCCCGGGCUCAACCUGGGAACUGCAUUCGAAACUGCUUUGCUAGAGUAUGGGAGAGGGAAGUGGAAUUCCUGGUGUAGCGGUGAAAUGCGUAGAUAUCAGGAGGAACACCGGUGGCGAAGGCGACUUCCUGGACCAAUACUGACGCUGAGGUGCGAAAGCGUGGGUAGCAAACAGG
rnacentral:rRNA from 1 species